rnacentral:rRNA from 1 species
GACGAACGCUGGCGGCGUGCUUAACACAUGCAAGUCGAACGGUGAAGCGCCUUCCUUUUUGGUGGGUGUGGAUGAGUGGCGAACGGGUGAGUAACACGUGAGUAACCUGCCCCCUUCUUCUGGAUAACCGCAUGAAAGUGUGGCUAAUACGGGAUAUUCUGGGUCUGUCGCAUGAUGGGUCUGGGAAAGAUAUUGUUUCGGUGGGGGAUGGGCUCGCGGCCUAUCAGCUUGUUGGUGGGGUGAUGGCCUACCAAGGCGGUGACGGGUAGCCGGCCUGGGGGGGUGGACGGUCACACUGGGACUGAGGCACGGCCCGGACUCCUACGGGGGGCAGCAGUGGGGAAUAGGGCACAAUGGGCGAAAGCCUGAUGCAGCGACGCCGCGUGAGGGAUGGAGGCCUGCGGGUUGUGAACCUCUUUCGCCAGUGAAGCAGGCCUGCCUCGUUUGUGGGUGGGUUGACGGUAGCUGGAUAAGAAGCGCCGGCUAACUACGUG